rnacentral:pre_miRNA from 1 species
AAAAAGGCAAACCCUAAAUUUGCGUGUCCAACUUUAACUGUCCGUCUUAUAUGAAAUUUUUUUAUAAUUCGUAUUUUUAUUGUUGUUAGAUGAUAAAACAUGAUUAAUAUUUACCUGCGUGACUUGUCUUUUUA